CGGGGCGUAGCGCAGUUUGGCUAGCGCGCCUGCUUUGGGAGCAGGAGGUCCCGGGUUCAAAUCCCGGCGCCCCGACCA
rnacentral:tRNA from 1 species